CAACUACUCACUCUGUCCCAAAUUUCUUGUCUUAGAUUUGUCUAGAUACGGAUGUAUCUAAUACUAAAAUGGGACUUGAUACAUCCGUAUCUAGACAAAUCUAAGACAAGAAUUUUGGGACGGAGGGAGUACUUU
rfam:Triticum urartu cultivar G1812 contig1183856, whole genome shotgun sequence.